UACAGAGGUCUCAAGCGUUGUUCGGAUUCAUUGGGCGUAAAGGGUGUGUAGGUGGCGCGCUAAGUCGGGUGUGAAAUCUCGGAGCUUAACUCCGAAACUGCAUUCGAUACUGCCGUGCUUGAGGACUGGAGAGGAGACUGGAAUUCAUGGUGUAGCAGUGAAAUGCGUAGAGAUCAUGAGGAAGACCAGUGGCGAAGGCGGGUCUCUGGACAGUUCCUGACACUGAGGCACGAAGGCCAGGGGAGCAAACGGG
rnacentral:rRNA from 1 species